rnacentral:lncRNA from 1 species
AUAUUCUUUGUUUACUAGUUUCUUUCUUCUUCACGUUCACUUACUGCUUUACUUUCCUUUUCAGGUUCACUUUCUGCUUCAUUUUUACUCUCCUGAUCAAAUAUUAUGACUUUAAGUUCUUCAUUUCCCAUUUCUUCUUGUUCUUCUUGAAUUCUCUUAGCAGAUUCUUUGAUAGCUUCCACGCAGUCAUAUACCUCAAUCAUUAGUAAUGUUGGAAUAUCACCUAAACUGGGAGGGAUCAUCUUCAAAUGUUUGCAAUAUCUCAAUCCUAGUCGUUGAAGUCUUGGGAAAUGAUCUCUUGAGGUAUUCCACUCUGCAAGUCUCACAUUAGAGAGUUUCAAGAAUUUAAGUUGUGGAAAUUCACCUUCACUAGUGUCCCAUCGUCGUCCAUCAAAGGAAACAUAACGUAAUUUGAGAACCACAAGGUACUUCAAUUUCCCAAUUAACUCCAUUUGUUCCUGUGCCAUGCGUACACGUAUUAAAGUCAAUUGUUUGAGAUUUAAGGGCAGACUGAUCAAAUUGAACGAUGAAUAUCCCACGAUACUACGUGAUCUGAGCUUCAAUGAUUCGAGCUGAUUCAGGAAGUCGAAAGAAUAACUGUGUGAAGAUUUAACCCUGCCCUUAAGUCUGCGAAGAUUGGAUAAACAUCUCAAAAUUUUCUCAUCCACUUCAUCGAAAAUUUGAAGGAAAGAAAUACUUUGUAGGUUACUUUUUAUUUGGAAGCUCUUAUCCUUAAUUGCUCGAUGACGGAUAGACUCACUGAAGUAUGCACCACCCUCGAAAUGCACUUGUCUCAAACUCAUCAUAUUAAGGAGGACAUCCGGUAUUUCAAUAUUAUGACUUCUCAUGACAAGAAAUUCUAGUUUGUGGAAGCUAUCCAUUGGUGGAAGUGUAGAUGAAAGUGCCAAGUACCUCACGUGAACGAGCUGGUUAAUUCCGACUACAACAAGAUUUAUCCAGGGCCUGCAAAAAUCCAAGACCCUAAGAACUUUGAAGCCGCAUGCAACUAAUGUGGGCAACGUUACAUUACCACAUAAAAGAGAGCGCGUAUGUGGGCCGAAAGGUAGUGAGGCAGUAGGAUCCUCCCCAUAGACGAUACUCAGACAAUGGCGUUUCCGAAACAUCGCCAUUUCACUGUAGUACGGUAGUGAGUUAGCGUGAUCCUCCCCAUAGACGAUACUCAGACAAUGGUGUUUCUGAUACAUCACCACUUCAUUGAAGUACGGUAGUGGAUGAGAUUCAUAAUCACUGGUAUAAACAUAAUCACACGUGAUACGAUCAUCAGAUAUAGUUACCAUUAUUAGUACACUAAAAUAAAAAUGUACGAAUAGAGAAGAAAAAAAUAAGAGAAAUAGGUAACUUACAUAUUGAAAAUCUUCAAAAAGUUUUUUUCUUCAGCUAUUCUCAAGCACAUUUCACGCAAUAGAUCAUGAAUCUUACAAGUUUUGAUUGAACCAUCAAAUUUUUUUCCAGCAACAAGUACCAGGCUCCUAUCAAUGAGUUUCAUCACAUAUUCUAGUGCCACAUCCUCUAAACUCUUUUGCUCUUCCUUCUUUAUAUAUCCUUCAGCAACCCAUAAUGAUGUCAACUUUUGUAUGUGGAUUUCCUCGUCCUCUUUGAAUGCUCCAAAGUAAAGAAAGCAUGGUUUCAAGUGCAUUGGCAAAUGAUUAUAGCUAAGUUCUAAUAUCUGGAUGUAGUUGUCUGAAUUUUUGGAUAAAUGUGAACUUAAAUUUCUUGCAACUUCUUGCCACAAGUGUUCUUUAUUCUCCAUAUUUGCAAGAACUCCAGCUAUCACGACCACGGCAAGUGGUAGGCCAUGACAUUUUUUUGCAAUCUUCUUCCCAACGUCUAGCAGUUCUUGAGGACAACUUUUACCUCUGAACACUUUCUUUUGUAAUAAAUCCAAGCAUUCAUCUUCUGAUAGAAAAGGAAGUGUAUUUAUGACACAAUGAGGUGACAAUUUCGAACUUACUUCUUUAUUCCGAGUGGUGAAUAAGAUUCUGCUUCCAGUUCCGUCAUCUGGAAAAAUUCUUUUCAAAUCAUCCCAUAAUUUUGUAUCCCAUAUAUCAUCCAGAACAAUAAGAUAUCGCCUUCCUUUUAAACUUUUGUAAACAUCUUCAGCCAAACUUUCUUCGUCCUUGAUUGCAAUUUGUUCUCGCUUAACAUUUUUUAUACAGCUCAAAAUGUUAAUCAAAAUAUUUUUCUUAUCAUAUGUUUGAGAAACAACACACCAGGCUCGCUUGUAAAAAUGAUAGACUACGGAUGGAUCAUUAUAUAGUUUAUUUGCUAAAGUCGUCUUACCAAGUCCAGGCAUUCCAAAUAUGGAGAUAAUUUGCAAUUGCUCCUUUCCUCUAACAAGUUGUUCUGCAAUUUCGAGUGCAACAUCUUCAAACCCCACAAUAACAUCUUCCAAAAUGGGAGUUCCUUUAGAUUGUGAGAAUAAGUGUUCAUCCGGAUAUUUUGCAACUUCUGGCAUUCCAGCCACAUCAAUAUCGUUCUUCACUUCUUUGAUGUCCAUCGUAAUAAGCUGAAUCUUCUCAAUGAGCAGAGGAAGUCUGAGGGUGAGAUACCAAACAGGGGGGAAUGAGUUGAUAACAUAUUCAACUUCAAAUGCUACGUCUCUGGUUUUUAUUAUGAGUUCUUCCUGCUCUGCUUCUUGCUGCACAGCUAUACUGGUGAUGGAAGAUCCCAAUAACAAUAGCUCCUCAUGUAGCAUUACAAUUUGAUCGUUCAUACCAACAAUCCUGUCAGACUUGUUAUUUAUUAGGUCCAUGAGAUCAUCAAGAACCGAAUCAACAAUGAAGAGGGAAACCACACCAGCCUUUGGAGCCAUAUCAAUUGGCAUCUUUGAGACUGUGAUGCAGUGCUCCUUGAUCUUUGAUUUCAAGAGCUCGAACUUUGGUAACAAAUCGGAAAGAGCUAGAUCCACUAAUCCACUCUCAGGGACUUGAUCAUUCUUGGUGAAAACUAUGAAACUUCCUAUCUCAUGGACCAGAGCUUUGAUAUCCGCCAUUACUUUCUCGGUUUCUUCUACCUCAGUAGUGGUCUGCAAUGGCCUGUCCUCAAGAACGUCGGAAAUGCCAGAGUGCAAGAAACUUACAACGUGGUUGACCACAUCUUCAAUAUCCGUCGAAUUAAGCAUCAAAUAAGUAAAAAGGGUUUCUUCCUUCCGAGUGGCAAAGAAUACGUCAAAGGUGAAAUACAAGGAAUAAAAGAAACUUCCUACCUCAUUAACCACAGCUUCGAUAUCUAUCACUACCUUAUUGGUGGGCUGCAAAUGCAUUGAUGUAUCUCCAAGAAAAGUAAUAAGAAAUCCUAGCUCUGUCCGGAGAUUAUGGAAAGCAAUGUAUUCUGCCUUAAAACAUAGGAUGGAUUCUACCAUUCGGAGUAGAAAGUUGAUAAAGGCUGCAACAACUUCAUUGGGACAAGACAAGCUUUGCUGGUUUGGGACAGUGAAGAAUUCCUCAAGCUUUUUCCCACGUGACAAUAGUUGUUGGAGACAGUGUCUAAUAUUUUCAAUACCUUUUGAGUUUCCAAUCGGCUCUGGAAAAUGAAAUAAAUCGGUUGAUGGGAGCCCAAGUUGGCAGGACAAAUUUGAAAUAUACUCGGACACGAUUAUACGGAAUCCUUUUGGCCCAGUAAACAGUGUAUCCUCGUCUUGUAAAGGGUACUCCUCUCCCGUGUCCAGGCAGUCUGUGUCUGUUUCUCCCUCUCCUGAUGACAUAGGGAAAGGAUCUGUGUCUGUUUCACCCUCUCCUGAUGACAUAGGGAAAGGAUACACGCGAUUGCAGGGAAAAAAAUAUUUGUGUUUAAAAGCCUAAUAGAUUCUACCAAUUUUGGCAUAUAGCUUUGGAGCUUGUAGAUCUGAAAAUGGAGUUUGAAACCAGAAAACGGGAAAGACUAGAAAUUAUUGAGGGGAGAGAGAGUGAGUUUGAAUUAGGGCCGGCCAAAUCUACCGAGCCCAAUCAAAUCAAUUGAAUCGAAUUCGAAUCGAACCGAAUUCGAUGGUUCUUCUCAAAUUAAAUAUUCGAACGGAUAUCUGAAUUGAGGACCGACGGGUACGAUUCGGUUCUCGAUUAUAGACAAAGAACUGAAAAAUCGAACAAGAAUCGAAUCUCUCUAAUUUUUUUUAUAUUGAAUAAAUUAAAUUAUUUUAAUUUUAAUUUUUUCUAAACAAAUUAACAAUUCUUAAAUCCAAAUUUUUGACCCAAUAAUUUGUUUUAUUUCUAAUUUUUUUAAUUUUUGGCCCAAUUACCCAUUUUAUUGUUUCAUUUUUUAGCCCAACAUGAUCCAAACAUGUUUUUAUCAGUGUCUGCCUUAAAAGAUCUACCUUAGACUAUUACUAUCCCUUGUCCGCUAUAUAUGAGACUGAACUCAGCUUCCAUGUUGAAUCUUUAAUAUUGCAUUUUCUCUCCAAUUCCCAUUCCUUUCCUUUUCCAUAUUAUCAAGUCGCCUAUAGUUGAAUCAACUAUACUCAAUGACUGUUAGACUUGUGUGUUGUCCCUUCACAAAGUAAAAUUUUCUCUUACACUUAGUUCUUCCACUAGUUCUAAUACAGAUUAGUUUUGGUAGGUUUGUAUGCAACAUCUAAAUUGGAGAAAUAGCCAGCUGAUCAUGUUAAUAAGAUUAGUUAGCAUUUAGCUUAUGCUCUUUAAGGGUUUUCCAGAAUGUUUUAUUCGUUUCUCUCUGUUUAAUUGGCAAGUCAAGCAAUUGAUGGAUAAUUGAAGUUUUAAUAUUACUAUCUACUCUUUGGUAUUUGUAAAUUGUAAGCAUGGGUAAAUUAAUCUUGUUGGACAACUUGUUAUUUACACGUUAUUAAAUUGGACUAUGUUAAUUUGUAAAACUACGAUUGAAUGCGUCAUUAGUUGUAUUUAUAUAGUGUUGUUAUAAAUGUUAAAAAUUUAAUUAUAGUACGGAACCGAAUGGAACCGAACCCAAACGGUUCCAUAAUUAUAUUUGGACCCGACGGUUCGAUUUACUAGAUACCCAAAAUUUUGGUUCAGUUUGGUUCUAAAGCCCGUGCCCACCUCUAGUUUGAAUUACUGAUAUGUUGGAGUACGGUUCAUAUGAUUUACACUUUUCAAAAAAGUCCCGUUUUGCUCCAUCAAUUUUCAUUUUACUAAUAUUUCAUUUUUCUCUCUUCUAUUUUUAACAACACAAUCUUCUAUAAAAUAAUAUUACACGUAAAUCAAAAAAAUUUCCCUCUUUUUCAACCACCAAUUUUAAUAAAAAACGCUAUUCCACCCAUUUUCAUUUUUACAGAAUGGGGGCCAAAUGGGGGCUAAAUUAAAAGCGGAUGUAAAGAAAAAAAUCACAAACGUCCUACUCAAACAUGCCUUUUCUGUUAUCUAGGGUUUGGGAGUAAUUUUUCACCCCUCAAAAAUUGAUUUUUUGAUCGUUAUUUCACUAUUUUUAGCCGUAAAGUUAGGGAUGGCAAUUGUUCGAUUUCGGUUCAAUUCGGCCAAAACUAUCAUCGAACCGUCAAAUUUUUUGACAUACCAUAACCGCACCAUAACCACGUAAAUCGGUUCGGUUCGGUUCGGUUCAGUUCGUAUCUCAGUUCGACUCGGUUCGGUUCGGUUAGGUUAAUAACCACGAAAAUAAUUUUUUUUCUACAUGUCCAUUCGUCAAAUUGAUAUAAAAUAAUUUAUGAAAAGAGAGUCAAUGAAAACAAAAACACAAUAUUUCAAACGAAAAUGUAAACAUUAUUCCAAAUUUCAAUUGCAAAAUACCAAUUUAACAAACAAUAUAAUGAAUAUAAUAAUACUAAAAUUUUCCUUCAUUCUUGAUUCUUGUGCAUUGUAGUUACUUGAUUUAUGCUCAAUAAUUCAAAAGCUUCAACCUUAACUCAUAUUCAAUCUUCAUUCUUCCCCUCAACUCUUACUAGCAUAGGUCAGCACUUAAAAUUGAUUCCUAUAUAGUAAAUAAGAAAUGUAAGUAGAGAAUACAACGAUACUACCUAAUCUAGAAUGAUUUUAAGAUUUAAAUAAAAAAAUGUACAUCUUCGUCAACUUCCUUUUCACUAAACCUUGUCAUCACUAAUAAAAGAAUGAUUUUUUUAAGCGGGUAAUCGGUUCGACGGCAUAAAUACCAUACUCAUACCGCCACGAACCGAUUUAUUAAAAUCAUAUACCAUAUCCGUCCCCAUUGCACCAUCCCUUCGAUUUUUUUCGCCUCAUUUAGUUCGGUUAACUGCGGUUUUCGAUUUUAACAGUUCAAAUUGUCAUCCCUACGUAAAGUUUGACUUCUUCUCUGAAAGAUGGCCCUCACUUUUCUUCUAAUGGUCAAAAAAUCAAUUCUCAAAAUCGCUUCCAAACGAGCCCCUAAUAUCUUCACUAGAUUGUCUGACCACGGCUACCACCCAAAUCAGCAAUAUAUCCAAAAUCUAAAGUAGAAUCCAGCAUGUCCUCUCCAUCGCCAGGAAAAAUUUUUGGUGCAAUAAAGUGCGAAAUUUCUGGUUUACAUUGCGAAUUCACAAGGCCAUGUUUGGUAGGUCAUGAUUUCCAUGGAAAAUGGUAAAUUAAUUCUACUUUCCCACUUUUGCCAUGUUUGAUGGCAAUUUUUUUCCAUGGAAUUUAUUUUCCAUCUCCUCCCCUCACGCGCCCAUUUUCCUUGUUUUUGGGGAAUUACAAUUCUUAAGGAUAUGGUGAGAAUUGGUUCUCUAGGCAACCCUUUUUUUUUUUGGGAAUGGAAACAAAUUCUAUGCCUAAUUGUAAAAAAAAUAUUUUCCUUAAAUUGACAAUUUGCAUGAAAAACAAAGUCAAACGUACAUGAAAAAAUACUUUUAUUUCAACAUUUUUCAGGUGGAAAGUUAUACUAAUCAAAUACAAUAAUUGACAAUCCCAGCAAAACAAUUUUUAGCCAAUUCAAUUCCUUGGAAUUCGUUUUGUUUUCCACCCAAAUUCUAUCUUUGCAAUCAAACGGACCCUAAUAUGUAAUUAAUCUCAAUGAAUGUGACUGUAGAAAUUGCGGUCUAAAUAUGUCUUGACAAUAGUGAUCAAUUUGACACUCACGAUUCGAAAUUCAACAGUAAUUUGCAAUGUAAUUUCUGAAUGUGACUGUAGUAUUCGCUUUUUGAAUGUGUUCGAAGUUGGAGUAACUUGUGGGAAAUAUUUUUUGAAAAGAAAUGUAUAAAAUGCUUUAUGUCUUAUAAAAAAAAAAUUAUGGAAACUCUAAUAACCCAUUAAGCCCCCAUAUGGCCUCUAUUUUUUCAAAUUAAAAUGAGCGGAAUAGUAUUUUUUGAAGAAUGAGUUGUUGAAAAAUAAUGAAAAGUUUUCCGGUUUAAGUGUAAUGUUAUUUUAUAAAAGAUUGUGUGGAUGAAAAUAUAAGAGAGAAAAAAAUAAAAUUUAAUUUAAUGCGGGCCAAACGAGGGUAAAUCUAUUAAAAUUAUGUAACUUUGGAUUUUUUACCAGUAAAAAUUAAAGAUGGAUGAAAAUGUCUUUUUCUUUUAAAAACUUGUAUCAAUAAAGCCACAAGUACAGAAAAAAUAACAGAAUUUGUACCGACGCUGACUUGGCAAAAUAUAAGUGGCCUGUUUUUCUACUUUUUUCCCCAUCUUCCAAUGAUGUCGUGUCAUGCAUUGUCUAUAAAGUUUUUCUGUCAAAAAAAUAUGUACUUAUAGCAUGAUUCAAAUUAAUAUUUGCUUAAGUCCACUCCUAAAAAGUUGUACUUGUUUGAAAUAUUCUUCAAUAUCAAAAUGGAUCCUUCAAAGGAUCUCGAUGACAAUUUGAAUAUUUUUAACAAGCUUGUUCAAGAUAUUGUCAAUUGUGUUGAGAAUGUGUCUGAAACCUAUAAGGUUAUUAUUUUGCACAAUUCUAUGCAUGAUUCAUAUAGGGAGGUUAAGAAUGCAUUUAAGUAUAGUAGGAACACCUUAACACUCGAGAUAAAAAUUAAGACUGAAAGAUAAGAGGGGUGGUGAGGUACAUAUGAUGAGGAGUAAAAUGAAAUUUAAGCAAAUGAGUUUGGGUAAAACUCAAGAUCAUGGCGACUCAAGUGACGAAGGUGAUAAGAAGAACAGCGGUGGUUGGGAUAAGUCAAGUGGUAAGUGGCAUUAUAGCUGUGGUAAAGCUUGAAAAUUUAUGUGGGGACUGUCUUAAGAAGAAGGUUAAGCAGAAGGUAAAGGUUAAGGUAAGAGGUGAGGCAAAUGUGGCUAUUGGGUCGAGUGACGACCCUAUUGAGAUUUAUUGAGAGUAAACAUGUUACUGCGUGUGUAUCUGUGUGUAACAUUUUUACAUGUUUGUGAUUGCUUAAUUUUGUUGCAUGAUUAUAUGUUACAUUUCAAUAUAUUUGAUAUGUACAUUUGCAUGAAUUUGAGAACAAUCUGGUUACUUGGUACAAUAUGCUUGCAUGUAUAGUGAGCUUAAUAGUAAGUGUGUAGCGUGUCUAUUAGUGAUUUGGAGUAUAGAUGUCAUAGGAUGUAUUGGUGAUAUAUAAUGGCAGAUGUGGAGAGUGAUAUAUAGAUCAUAAGUGAAGAGGUGAUUAAAUGUCAAAUCCUUUAUCUGUAAAGACCCUAAUAAAGUGGAGUGUGAGAGUGACACUUUUGUUAGGUAGAGACCCACUUUUCACUUAUGUUGGGAGAAAUGAGGCAGUAAUAGAGGACUAUCUCGUGGCCUUAUGAUCUAUUGUGAUAUACCAAUUAAACAUGAGUUUCAUAACAAUUUUUACAAAGACUGUCUAGCAUAGAAGCACUCCAAAUGACUUAGACCAACGAAGUUCUUCUCUAGUAUAACCAUGACUAUGAUGCAAAAAGGUAUUACUUCUAGAAAGUGUUUUUAAGCAAAACCAAAGUGUAAAUAUAGAAUGGAAUGAAUAAUAAACGCUUUAGGGGUCCUUUAUAUAGAAGGUGUGGGGUGUAGUUGGAUAAAUACGCCCCAAAAUUCAGCAAUUUCAUGAAGGGAUGCAACUCGUUCCACCGUUCACCUACGACUAAUGUGGCACUCGAGCAGUGGCCAGUGCAUUUUACACACUUAUUUUGAACAUAAAACAUGGAUAAUUGUUGAUAAAAUAUAUUGAAUAUGACUUAAUUCUAUAUAAAUUAUGUUUUGUAUGACAAUAUUCAUGAAUGUGGCCGAAUCUAGGAAAAAAGUAAAAGUUCAGGGACCAAAGUGCAAUUAGUCAAAAGAUGACCUGAAAGACAAAAUGAAGAUGUGAAAAAUUUAAGUAUUGGAAAAAGAAAGAAAUGAGAAAAAGAGGUCAAGAAAUGAGAAAACGAAAUUCAGGGAUUAAAACACAACAUUUGAAAGUUAAUAUAACUGGGCGACUGCCUGAAUUUUCCCUGCGUGACUACCUAGGCAAAUCGCGGCAAAAAAGUUCUGGUUUUCUCAUGUAACUGAAAUUCUUAUGGAAACAAAUAUUGGUCUUUUAAAGCUCCAGGGACGUCCAUAAGGAAGAUGAGAUGCAUUCUAAAGCAUUCAUAAGGGUUUUAAAGCAUAGAAGGAGGCAAGAAACAUGAAGAUCGACCCCAAGACAUGAAGAUUCAAUUUAAGAUUUCUUCAAUAUUCUUUUUGUUUUCUAUUUUCUACCAUGUUAAGCUAGAUUUGUUUAUACUAGGAGAACGAUGAACCGUGCGAUAUAACUUUUUAAUCUUUAGUUUUACUUUCUUGACAUUAAAACACGUUUUUGUAAUUUUAAAGGUUUAUAUGAAUUUAUUUUCUCCAAAAAAAUUUGCACAUGAUUGUGUGAAUUUGGUGGCUUGUUUCAUACAUUCAAAAGAAGGAGAAAUAGGCUCGACAUGGUAUAAAAUGUCAUAAGAUUCGAUAGAGGAUGGAAAUAUACCGCUAUACCUUAUAUGAAUCUUUAAAUAUUUACAAAAAUUUAAACAUUCUUGUAUAUUCACAUCUGUAAUAGAAAUAUAGUCGGGUCAUAAACGAGAGUAUGUUCAACAUUACUCAAGGAGAUUGGUUAAUAAAAUAGGAACAUUGAUUCUUCAAAAUUUUAAUGUGUUGUCAAAGUAUAAAACUAAGUUUAAAACGAAGUAUUGUAUGGGGAUUUAUGAUCCUAGUACUUUUAUCAUUCAUUAGAACUCUUCAACUUGCAUUUAAACACAACUUGCAUUUAGUUAGUUAAAUCACUUAUAAUUGCAUGCAUAAUUUAGUUUAGUUAUAAUUUGCAUCACAACAAACACUCUCAUUUUGAUUGUUUCAGUUAAGGUCACGAUAAUAGAAAUGGAACUAAAUCAAUCCUUUUGGGACAAUAUUUGAACUUAAAAUCUACUUUAUUACUUGUUAACAAACCGUACACUUAUGGUAAUUUUACAUUGAAAUAUAUUUUCGUUAAUAAAUUUUUGGCGUCAUUGCCGGUGAUUGAGUUUUGAUUGAUUUUAUUUACUUUGACACUAAUUAAAAAUUUUUAUUUUAUUUAGUUUUUCAGUUUAUCGAAGUGCUACUAUUGCUCUUCCUUUAUGUCUUGUAUGCGAUGGUCACUUGAAAGUGAAUUGGUUCCUAUUGAUCCAAAAAUUGAAUGCACCUUUCAUCGUAGGCAAAGAGAGGUAAGAGAAGUACAACAAAAAGAGCAAAAACAACAAAUACCAAUGGCUAAUAAGCAUAUUGAGCCAUUGAUUAAUCCUGCAAAUCUAGUAGAUGCAAAGGUAGAAGAUGAAGGAAAUAUGCUACUUGGGGACUUCAUGGCACCAUUAGUUGUCCAAAGCCAAUCUAGCAUUGUAUAUCCUCCAUUUGGGUAGCUAAACUGCCAACUGAAAAUGAAAGUCAUCCAAAUCUUUCAGCAUGGGCAUUAGUUCUUCGGAAUGGCUAAUGAAAAUCCACAUACACAUAUAUCCCGAUUCUUGGAUAUGUGUCAGCACUCAGGAAUCAAGGAAUUUUAGAUGAUGCUAUUAGGCUAAGGUUAUUUCCACAUACUUUUUGAGAUAAAGUACUCGAAUGGCUGGAUUCACUUCCCAUUGCAAGCAUAACUACUUUGAAUGAGCUAGCUCACAAAUUCUGCAUGAAAAUUUUCUCACCAUUUAAGGUAGUGAGACUGAGGCAUGAAUAUCGAUAUUCAAUUAAGGUGAAUCUAAAUCAUUUAAUGAGGUUUGAAAUAGGUUUAAGAACAUGCUAAGGAAGUAUUCUCAACAUGAUUUAGACAAGAAAACCCAAAUCCGAUUUUUCUAUACAAGAUUACUUCCAACUUUCGAAAAAAUAGUAGAUUCAUCAUCCAAUGGUUGCAUAUCCACGAGAACAAUCGAUGGAGCAUUAGAAUUGUUUUAGAUAAUGGCUACUGAUAAGUGCAUUUUGUGCACUUAUUUACGCCACGUUACUAAACUUGUAUGUCGUCAAAUUAGUGAAUUUUACACUUAAUUUGAGUUAAUUUUGUUUGUUUCAUUGACGGACUCUUUUGAAGCAAUUGAAAAGGAAGAAUGAUUAAAUUGAAUGAAAUUGGCAAUUUUGGCGGAUCAAAGCUACACAACUGAUGAGUUUAAGGAUUACAUUACAUUAACUUGGAAGAUUGGAUGACUUGAAGAAGAUAGUAAAUGAAUUGGGCUUCAAUUAGACUUUUAAGUGAAAUCAAAUUAAAUCAUUGAUUACACUUUUAGUUGGGCUCAAAUUAUAGGGCUGACAAAUUGAAAUUUAUUAGACGGCAGCGUUUUCUGGGGACGGCAAUUGGUAGAAGACGUAGAGGAGAAAAAACACAUUGAAGUUGGCUAGAAAGAAAAUACACGCACAGGAGCAUACAAUUGAAGAAGAAGAAAAAACGAGUUGCCUAAUGGAAAUAUAUACAUAAAAUAAGAGGCAGCCUAGGAAAAUUUGGUGCGAGUCAACUAUUGCGGCUGUUGGAGGAAUAAAGGGUUGUUUGUUACUAAAAUUAUAGACGAAUAUACACAAAAAAAAAAGGUAGCAAAGAGGAGAGAGACACAGACACAAAGACUAAAAGAAUUAGUCAAUUGGUGGCAGAUUGUGAGAAAGAAAAACGGCUGAUUUAUUUUGUGAUUCGUUCCAUCAAUUUUUGGUGAUGUCUUUUAACUUUUGAGUGUUUAACUUCGACUCUAUGUUUGGUUAAAUUUUUUUAUUGCUAUGAUGUGAUGAACCCUCGUUAUGAAAUUUUUUUAGUUUGAAUAAUUAAAUUGAAGUUAAAUUUGUUUGAAUAUUUGGAUGUUUAUUAUUGUUUUUCAUACUUUUCAAUUAAUUGGCCACUAGUUGAAUUGUUUGUGGAUUUUCUUGUUAUCGAGAGAGAUAAUAAGAUCAUUAGCACGUAGUACUAAAUAUUGUGAGGUUCGAUAAAAAAUAGAGAUAUACAUCUAUGCUUCAUAUGAUUUUUAUAAGAUGUUCUAGCUCGUUUAAUGCAUUUAUCAUGUUCGCAUCUUUUAUUCAGAGAUAGGAAGGUCGUAUGAGGGGAAUAGAUUUGAUAACUAUCGAGAGAGGUUUUCAAUUAAAAUAGGAACAUUGACCAACAAGCAUGAUUUCAAAUUGUCAAUUUAAACUAUCGAACUAAAAAAUUGAUUAAUAAGGGGGAUUCUACAUCUUAGCAAUAUUUCUUGUGAAGUUGAUAAAUUUUAUUUACAUUACUUUCUAGUUAGUCGAUAGAUUUAAUAAUUUUUAGUUACUACUCGAUUUUGCUAUUCGAUUAAGGGAGGGUUAGCUUAAAAUUGAUCAAACACAUAGUACUCGUGGGUUCGACACUCUACACACCAUUUUAUUACUUGUUCACGAUCUCGCUCACUUGCGGGCAAUCAAACGAACAGCUACUAUUUCAGCCAUGUGGUCCUCUAAGUAGGUAGUUUAGAAGAAAUCACCAGGGGUUUAUGAGAUAGACACUUACUCGGCCUUAUAUGCUAAAAUAGACUACAUAUUUCAUAAGAUAGAAAGCAUGUCACAUUCAACAAAUGCAAUACAAGCAUGGAAACUAAGUUGUGAAGAAUGUGGAGCUGAUCACAGUACAGCUGAAUGCCCAAUUCUAUCACAGGGAAUGAAAUAGGUAGAAUAUGCGUAAUGGGGUCAGCGUUAACAAAACAAUCCAAAUUCAGACACUUACAAUCCCGGUUGGACAGAACAUCCAAGUUUUUCGUGGGUUGAUAACCAAAAUAAUUUCAAAAUCUUAAUAGACCCCAUGGACAAGUUCAGCAUGAGAAGAAAAUUCAAUUGGAAGAGAUGUUUGCGAAGUUUGUGGAAAAGAUUAAUAAAUACAUGGAAACAAAUAACCAAUUCAUGGGGAAGACUGAAACAAACUUUCCAAAAUUAGAAUGUUACAAUUAAGAACUUUGAGAUGUAGGUGGGAUAGAUUGCACUUUUUACGAUGGGAAGGACACCAAGUACUUUGCCAAGCAAUACUGAAGUGAAUUCCGAAUGAGCGUGUUCAACCAAUUACUACAAGAUAUAGGCUUCGAUUACCAGAAAUACAUGUAAAGAGACCGGGUGAAAUUGAAAAAAUGGUGCGUUCUUCUGAUGAGGAGCACGAGAAGCAGACUGACCAGACCAGAGAGACAUCUACCAAAGAAGGUUUGGAUAUAUCACGGGCUAAAGCAACCGCUCCUAUCAAACAUACAAGGCCCUAAUUUCAUUCAUCUAGAGAUUGAAGAAGCAUAAAAUGGAUCAAUAGCUAAUGAAAUUUUUAGAGAUCUUAAAGAAACUUCACAUAAACAUUCCGUUAGCUGGGGCAAUUACUCAGAUAACCCAACUAUGCCAAAUUCUUGAAUGACAUCCUUUCCAACAAAUGCAAGAUGGAGGUGCACGAAACGGUGGAAUGCAGUGUUAGAAUUCAGAAAAAAUUACCUCCAAAGCUAAAAGAUCCAAGGAGUUUUAUUGUACCCUGCACUAUAGGAAUUGCUAUUUUGAAAAAGCUUUAUGUGAUUUGGAUGCUAGUAUUAAUUUGAUGCAACUUUCUAUUUUCAUUUAACUAGGAUUAGGGAAAGCUGAGGCAACUACGUUAACUCUACAACUGGUUGAUCGAUCAUUUACUCACCCAUGAGGAAUUAUUGAAGAUGUUUUGGUAAAGGUAGAAAAACUCGUAUUUCCAGUGGAUUUUCUCAUUCUAGAGAUGGAGGAAGAUAAGGAUGUACCACUCAUUUUGGGUUGAUCUUUUUAGCUACUAAAAAAGCUCUCGUAGACGUAUAGCGAGGUCGAUUAAUUCUAAGACUAGGAGAGAAGCAGGUCUCUUUAAACGUGUUCAAAGUAAUGAAAUAUCCUACUGAGUCAUACAACUAUUUCCAGAUUGAGGUGGUUGACAAAGUAAUUCAUGACACCUUUCAGUUGCAAAAUAUGUCAGAUGCUUAUGAGGCUUGUAUUGUGUAUUCUCAAUCCACUCACACUGAUUUCAGUGAGAUUGAGGUUUGUGCAAUAUAUAUGGAGACAAAUCCACCAUACAUGUGAAAACGAAAUUAUAUUGAAGUCUGCAUUUGUUGAGUUUUAAACGGGUAAUGAGAGAGAGCCAUACUACUUGGAGCAGGGUAAGGUUAAAAUUUGGAAAAAAGUUACAGUAUAGAAAAAAGUCAUAUUGAGCAAACUAAGCAGGACCUCUAAGGCUAUAUUCAAAGUACCACAACAUACUUGUGCCAAACAUCGAGCUUUAGACUAUAAAUCAAGCGCUUAAUGGGAGGCAACCCAUUCUUAUAUCUCUUUUCACUUAUUUUGACUAGCUAUUGUAUUACACGUAUGUUUAGGGAUUGUAUUAGUAUUUGGAGCCAUGGUUAGGAACUCAUGCAUUUAAUGAUUUUUAACAAAAACUGGGUUAAAAAUUGGGUAGUAUUUUAAAAUUAGUAUUAGGAUCAAUUUACUUAGGCUCGUCACUAGCAUUACAUUGAGCUUACAUUGAUGUGAUAUGCAUUUUUAUGGUUGCUCCUAGAUUUCAAUCUUCUUAAUGUCAGAAGAUUAUAGUUCUUUAUGGUGUGAAUACAUUGCAAAUAUUUAAACCUUAUUUGCUAUUAUUAAUAUUUAUUUUAAAUUCUUGAGACAUAAAAUUGAAGCAUAGCAACAAAGGAAAAUGGUGGUUGUCAUGAUAUCUACUAAACGGACUAGCAUGAUCCUCUAAAUAUCCGCAUCUAUCCCGAGGAGCUUUUGAUCCUUACUAGUUCAUUUUGAUUACUUUUACUUUUACUUUGAGGACGGUGUUUUAUAUAAGUGGUAUGGCAUAAUCUUCAUAACACCUUUAACAUUCAUUGAUAUUUGUGUAUAAUUUACUGCUUUCCCUGUGAUCGUAUGUGUGAAAAAAAGGGUAAUUCGAACAAACGUCCUUAUAUUUCAAUGUUAUUGUGUAAGAUGUCCCUACUUUUCAUUUUUUGGCACUUUUAUUCUUACCUUCACCUUUUAUUGCGAAAAUAAUCAUUUUCAUCAAAUUUCUCGUGUAAAAUGACAAAAAGACCCCCUAUUUAAAUAAAACAAUAAAAAAGAAAAGAAAAGUUAAAGAAUAUAUUGCAAUCAUACUCCCAAACUUUUUUAAAAAGUGCAAACGAGUCCACAUAAAUUAUUAAAGGAGUAGUUAGUACAAAACGUCCAUACUUUUCAUUAUUAUAGUGAAAAACGUCCAUAACGUUCAUUUUUUUUUUGACAUUUUUACCCUUAUUUUUAUAUUUCAUUGCAAAAAUCAUUAUUUUCAUCCAUUUUCCCAAUUAAAAGUUGUAAAAUGACAAAUACACCCUCAUCUUUAAAUAAACAAAAAUAAAGAAAGGAAAAAUAAAGAAAAAAUUGCAAUUAUACUCCCAAAAUUUUCAAAAAAAAAAAACUACAAAUAAAUUUCAAAUAAAUAAUUUAAAAAACAAAAAUCACUUUCUUUUUUAAUUAUUUAUUUGAAAUUUAUUUUUACUUUUUUGAAAAAUUUUGGAAAUAUAGUUGCAAUUUGUUCUUUAUUUUUAUUUUUUUUUUACUUAAAAAGGAGCGCAUAUAUAUUAUUUUGCAACUUUUUCUUGAGAAAAUGGAUGAAAAUAACGAUUUUCGCAAUGAAAUAUAAAAUAAAUUUGAAAAUGUCAAAAAAUGAAAAGUAGGGACGUUUUGCAUAAUAAUAAUGAAAGGUAUGGAUGUUUGUUGCUAAUUACCCUUUUAAUAAUUUAUGUGGACUCAUUUUUAUUUUUUUUAAAAGUUUGGGAGUAUGAUUGCAAUUUAUUCUUUAACUUUUCUUUUCUUUUUUAUUGUUUUAUUUAAAUAGAUGGUAUUUUUGUCAUUUUACAUGAGAAAUUUGAUGAAAAUGAUGAUUUUCGCAAUAAAAGGUAAAAAUAAGGGUAAAAGUGCCAAAAAUGAAAGGUAUGUACGUUUUAUACAAUCAUAUUGAAAGGUAAGGACAUUUUGUGCUAAUUAUCCAAAAUAAAAAAUUACAGUCUUUACUCAUUUUUAUUUAUUAUUUUGUUUGCUUAUGUAGGUUUGAUGACCUUGUCGACAAUGAUGUUGAAUACUAGAAUAGGCAUAGACUAGGAACAAUGGAAAAAGUGCAUGACUAGAAUAGCCGAUACUAGUUUAUGUGAAACUUGACAUUUUCUGUGCACGAUACUCAUGAUUUACAUGUUAAGUUGGUGAUUUGGUUCAUUAUUUAGAAAAGAGUUGAACAUAAUAUGUUAUACCUAACAAACCUCUAUUGUACUUAUCCAUAACCCAUUGUUUUGAUGCUUUGAAGAUGGUUGAGCUAUUUUAGAGGAACAUUGAGAUAAGUAGGUCUUCCGUAAAUGAAAUUAUAAUGUGUGGAAUACUUAAAACCAAUGAGACUAAGAUUAGAUGAAAGUUUUCGGUUAGGCGUUGGUUUUGAAAACUAAAUGUCUAAAAGAAAAGCGGCAUAAUAUUAAUCUUUGUGUGAAUAAUACUUCUUUCAAAGUCUUUAUGGCUCGAGCAAGUAAGCUUGUAAGGAUAUUGAAAACCUGGUGCCAUAAAGUCAAUUGAUUUGGGAGUUAUCAGCCUAAAACUCACUACGGAGGUCAUAUAGAAAACAAAAAAGGAGAAGUUGAUAAAAAAAUAUCUUUUCGAGCCUUUAUAACUCAAAUGAAUAAGCCUAUAAGGGUAUUUGAUAACUUGGUGCCCUAAAAUCAUCUGACUUCGGAAUCAUCGGCCUAAAACUCGAUACUUGGACUAGAUAGAAAGAAAAUGAGUGGAUGAUAAAAAAGAGAGAGAAAAUAAGAAUAAGUGAGGAAAGACACAAUCAUAUUGAUUAAGUCCUAAGACAUUCGGUUGAUAAAAUUAUACAUUUAAUGCGAGCCAAGUAGCUUAGUUUAGCCUUAAAGGUUGAAGCAAUCAAAAAUAGGAUAACCUCUACAUUUGGAAGCUUGAAUUUGCGAUAGUAAACUAAGAGAGGGUAAGGAUUAGAAUUAAUUUCAACCUUAGAGUACAAGUUGGGGAAAUUGAGUGAAAAGAAUAAGUUUAGGGGCAUGUAUCUCUCGAGAUAACAAAGGAAAUACUUGACCACUAUGGGUUGGGAGUUGAACCAAUCAUGAGUUUAACAUGUUUACAUUAGUUUACACACACAUCAGGUUAUGCAUAUAAUAGGUGGAGGCCUAUUUGAUUUGGUACUGUUGAAACUAUUCAUUAUGUUGAUUACUGAAUUCCAAUCCUGAGAGAUGUUGGGUUGUCAAAUCAUGUUUUAUGUUGAGUGAAGCUACAUUUUUGUUUGAGGACCAAAAAUAGUUCAAGUUUGGGGAUUUGAUAAGUGUGUUUUAUACACUUAUUUUGACAACAAAAACAGGAUAAUUAUUGAUAAAUAUGUUAAAAUAUGGCUUAAUUCUAUAUAAAUUAUAUUUUGUAGGACAACAUUGAUGAAUGUAGCGGAAUCUCAGAGAAACUAACGAAAGAGGACCAAAAUGGAAGAAAAUAAAAGUUCAUGGACCAAAGUGCAAAUAACCAAAAGACGUCUAGGAAGACAAUGACGAUUUGAAAGAUUUGAAGGCUAAUUUAUAGAAGACAUGAAGUAUUGGAAGAAGAUAGAAAUGAGAAAAAGAGGUCAAGAAACGAGAAAAUUAAAUUCAAGGACUAAAACACAGCAUUUGAAAGUUAAUAUAACUAAGUCACUGCCCAGUUAUAUAGGUCGGAUGACUGCCAAACCACGAAGAACAAAUACCAAGGCUUAAAGUUUAGCUUGGAAGACGGUGACGAAAAAAUUUUGAUUUUCUUAUCUGACAGAAAUUCUUAUAGAAAUAAAUCUUGAUGUUAGGUCUAAUUGUUUUUGGCAAUUUUGUGAACAAAAAGGGUCAAAUUGAAACAGUGUUGAAGUCGAAGAGUAAUGUGCAAUAUUGUAAAAAGUUGUUCGUAGGUUAGGGUUUAAUGUUAAAAUAAAGAAGGAAGGAAGGCUUGUUGCAUUUUCGCUUGAUUCUCGUCAACACACCGCUCGAGAGGCAUAUGCAGAGAGGACAUCGCUAGCUUCUCGCCAAGCCUUCACUCGAGUGAAAAGGUCAUUGCUAGCUAUCGGUUGACGUCGUUCGAGAGAUAAAUAUUUUCGCAAAACCCUAAUUUUCCUUUUUCGAGAGUUUUAACCAUUCCAAACUACCCAAAACAUCCUAUAUAUAAAAAUCUGUGUUGUUUUCACGAAAAAGCUGGGAUUGUCCAUUAGAGAAAACACUUGCAUUCUUCAAAAUACACAUUCCAUUCUUCAUCAACCUUGGCAAUUGAAAAACAUCAAAUCUGAAAUUCAAACACCAAAAACCAAAAGCUUCCAUGGGCUCUGUUUGAGAUUGAAGAUCGAGGAAGAUGAUUGGAGUUGUGGUCAUUGGAGAACGGGGAGUUCUUAGGGAUCCAUUGGAGAUAGACGAGAUCAAAAAUAGGGAAUUGGUGUAGGAGCACGCAAUCUAGAAGGGCUUUGGGAAUUACAAUACAGAAGAUCAGAAAGAACGUAUGUGGGUCUAGUUUGUUGGUACUGUAAGUUGUGUUCGUUUAUAGUGGAUUCACACUGGUUGGGGCCCCGAGUUUUACUUAGUUUGAGGUUUCUCCAUCAUCAAAUUUUGCGUGUUCUUUAUUUUUCCAGUAAUUUAUUAUACUCCGUUAAUUCAACAUAGGGUAGAUUGCAUGAGAAUUGGACUAGACUAAUUAAUUAAUUAUCACACUGUGCAACAAUUGUUAAUUGAAAUUUGGUAAAUUUAGUGCAAACACCUAUUCACCCUUCUCUCUAGGUGUUAUUUGGGUCGAACUGUGUAACUUUCACUUGGAAUAUCUUUAAAAUCCCUAGAGACGCCCAUAAGGAAUAGGGGACGCAGUCUAAACAUUUAUAAGGGCAUUAGAGCAUAGACGGAGACAAGAAACACAAAGAUCAACCUAAGACGCGAAGAUUCAAUUCAAGAUUUAAAUUGGUGAUGUCGUUUCUUCAAUAUUCUUUUUGUUUUCUUUUUUCCACCAUGUUAGGCUAGAUUUGUUUGUGCUAGGAGAAUGAUGAACCAUGUGAUAUGACUUUUUAAUAUUUAGUUUUACACUCUUGACAUUAAAACACGUUUUUGGAAUUUGAAUGAUUUCUAUGAAUUUAUUUUCUCAACAAUUAUUGUACAUUUGAUUGUGUGAAUUUGGUGGCUUGUUUCAUGCAUUCAAACAAGGGAAAUAGGCUCGACAUGAAAUAAAUCGUCUUAGGGUCUGAUAGGAGAUAGAAAUGUACUGCUAUGCUUUAUGUGAAUAUUUAUGUGUUUACAAAAAUUCACGCAUUCUUGUGCAUUCGCAUCCACCAUAGAAAUAUAGUCGGGCCAUUUUUAUUAGAGUAAGUUCAACAUUACUCAAGAGAGAUUGUUGCAUAAAAUAGGAACAUUAAUUUUUCAAAAUACAACCAUCUUGUUAAAGUUUAAAACUAAGUUUAAAACGGAAUAUUGAAUGUGGAUUCGUGAUUCUAGUACGUUUAUCAUUAAUUAGAACACUUCAACUUGCAUUUAAACACAACUUGCAUUUAGUUAAUUAAAUCACUUAUAAUUGCAUACGUAGUUUAGUUUAGUUAUAAUUUGCAUCACAACAAAUACUCUCAAUUUGAUAGUUUCGGUUAAGGUUACGGUAACAGAAAUUGAACUAAAACAAUGCUUGUGGGACAAUAUUCGGACUUAAAAUCCACUUUAUUAUUUGUUAACGAACUAUACACUUUCUAUGACAAUCUACUCAACAAGUAGAAUAAGUUAAUCUAUUUACUUUAAUACUUUGACUUUUGGAUCAAGUCCGAAUAUUUGAUCGACAUUGACACAAAGUCACUUUUCAAAGUUUAUAUUUAACCAAAAUUUCAUUUCUUAAACCAAACUCCAACAGCAUUUGCAAUUGAAUGCAUCUUAACGAUCAAGGGCGGAGCCAUGUUGAGACGAGUGUGGGCAUAUGCCCGCAUUGAAUUUAUAGGCCUAAACCUUUUUUUUUUGGUAUUAUUAUUAGCAACAUGAGGUGGAAUAAAAACAUGUUUUAAUUUACAUGGGUUUUAUUUUUAGGUCCAAACCCAUGAUUUUGUUUUAUAGUUUUAUCAUCAUUAAAUUCAUGACCAAAACUCAAUGUUCGACGUGGGUUAAAUUAUGUCAGCACUGAACAAAUUUCCUGGCUCCGCCCCUGUUAACGAUGAUACCCCCCCUCGAACUUCAACAACGAUUGUUUGCUACUGGAUAUGAAAUUCAAAGUUGGAAUAAAUUGUGGGAUAAUAGUUUGGAAAAGAAACGUAUUUUAUGCUUUAAUAUUUCACAAAUUCAUCUUCAACAACAUAUUCUCCUGAUAAAGUAAUUUUAUAUGUGGAUCCAAAUUUUUUUUCAUAUUUUUUAACAACAUAUUCUUCAAAAAAUCAAUAUUACAAAAUCUAUGCUUCAAAAAAAUUGGGCUUAAACAAACCAUAUAUUUGUUUUCUAUUUUUGCCGAAAUAUUAGGGGAAAAAAAUGUUUGGUAGCUCCUAGUUUUGGAGCUUGUAGAUCUAAAAAUGGAAUUUGAAACCAGAAAACGGAAAAGACUAGAAAUUAUUGAGGGGAGAGAGAGUGAGUUUGAAUUAUUGAAUAUAUUGGAGUACAGCUCAUACGAUUCACUUUUCAAAUAGCUUUAAAUUUAACAAUGGAUAUAAAGAAAAAGCCACAAGAAAAGUUCACAAAAGUCUGAAUAUUUCCUCUACCCAUUUCUGUUCUAUUUCAUCACAUCACCUGUGUGAAAUCUUAUUUGUGGAGUCCAAAUUAAAAACAAUACAAAAGUUGAAUAAACAAUGUACUCAAAGUAUUAUAUAUUUUUAUUUGUUUGCUCCAUCGUUCCAUUUUUGACAUAAUAUUUUUUUUUUCCGUUAUCUGAUAUCUUCAAAGGAUUGUCCCAAAUCAAUAGUAAAUUCAAAAUCUAAAACAUAAUCGAGCGUGUUAUCUCCAUUGUCAAGAAAAAUCAUCGGUGCAAUAAAGUGCAAAAUUUUUUUUUGCAUCGAAAAACGCCUUCAACUCUAAUUCACUAAUGUGUAAUGAAUUUCAAUGAGUGUGACUUAGAAAUAUAUCUCAACAAUGGUAACAAUGAUCAAUUUGAUACUCUUGAUUCAAAAUUCAACAGUAAUUUGCAUUUUAAUUUCUGAAUGUGAAUACAGUAUUCACCUUUUGAAUGUAACUUAACAAUAAUACCCCAGUCUCAAACUUCAACAUUGAUCAUUUGCCACGACGCAUUCGAAAUUCAAAGUCGUAGUACUUCAUAAUAUUUUUAAAAAGAGAUGUAUUGAAUGUUUUAUAGCUUAUUAAAAAAUUAUGGUCACUCUAAUAACCCAUUAAAUCUAUAAAAACUAAGGAUCAUUUACACGAUUUUAGAUUUUUUAGUAUACCAAGAAAAAUGAAAGAAAGACGAAAAUUUGGGUUUUAAAAGAAAAAAUUAAAUUGAAUCGUAUCUUCCAAUCUACCCUCAAAAUGGAUAAUUAUUAUACAUUGUGAACUUGAGAAAAAAUUUAACGAUGAAAAUUCUUGUCUUCAAAAGUAUCAAGAUGACAAUUUUUUGGCUAAACAACCAAAAAAUUAACUUUUUACUAUAGAAAAGUACGUCGUCAAAAGUGAAAUUUUUGUACUCAUCAUCAUCAGCAAUGUCACUGCAAACCUACAUUGCUUUUGCAAGUAACAUUGGUAUUCUAAUUUUGAUUUCUAUUUUUACUAAAUUUUAGUAGCUUUGGAGCUUGGAGAUCUGAAAAGCAAAUCAUACAAGAGAAGGAAAAAGACUACUAAUUAUUGAAGAGGGAGAGAGAAUUUGAGUUAAUCAAUAUAUUGAGUACAGCUCAUAUGAUUCACUUUUCUAAUGCCUUUAAACAAUGGAUGAAAACAGUCCCCAAAAAAUAUAAAAAGGGACUAGAUGUAAACAAAAAUAUUGCACUCCUUAAGAUGUUCAAAUUACUUUUUGAGCUUUUGUCGAAGAUGUGGAUGCAAUGAAGAGUAUCCAAGACUAGACAUGCUAUUCAAGAUGAUUAUUCAUUUUUCUUUACUUGCUUUAAAAAGAAAACUCACCUUCUUAGUCGUUUUCACACAGACCGCGUGAAAUUAUUGUUGUGUUGAUGUAUGUUUUCAUUCUUAGGAGAAACUAAAAGAAUUUUUUCCAUGUUUGAUUACUAAUAUAUAUUCGAUAUCCUCAAUAGAAGUCUCGAUAUUAUGAUGGUUUUUUUUCCCCAUUAUGAUGACCACUUUUACUUGUCGUAAUUUAUGAAUUAAUCAUUUUGUUUUGACCAUGUAAAGUACUUAAUUUUUUGUUAAAUCGAUCAUGUGAAAAAUGAACUAACAUACGUACAUGACAAGUUGAUAGAAUAUACUGAGUGUACAAUGUAGACAAACGUUCAACCAUAAAAUUUAAAAGAAAAUAUUUAGUGCUUAUUUGGAUUUCAUUAUACGUUUUUGAAAUAUAAUGUGAUAGAAAUGCAUGAUGGAUAAGUGAGUAUUUGUGAGUCCUAUGAAAUGUAUGAUUAAACUUAAUUUUCACAUUAUAUUAUAAGGACAUUAUAAUGAAAGGAAAAUUAAGAAAUUAAGCCCAAUAUCAACAAAAGCAGCGUUCAUAUAAUUCAUAUCUUCUAUUUUCGUGUAUCAAUGCAUGGCGGUCGCUCCAUAUACAUCAAAGAACACAGUAGUUUUCAAGAGUUGAUCGCGGUACUGUAGUGAAAAUAUGUAUCAGAUGUCCAAAUUUUCCGCCAUUGCUAUGUCUGCAUAUAAUCUGAUCGCUCCAUCUUUUGCCACAUUAUUUCCGCAAUUUUACAUUGUAUUAUAACAUGUGUUUCAAAUUUUCUUCAUGGUUUUGAUAGAAAGGAUAAAUUGAAUGAGUGACAAUUUACCGUCUUUGUAGCGUACUGCCUCCACUCAAAUACGUUCAUAGAGAAUUUACCAUAUGAAAAUCCUAUUCUUUGGUGGAAUGUUUAGUGUCCAGAAGCCUUUCCACCAGUUUUUUAUUACCACAUUAUAAGAUGUAGAUGCUUGAUGUUGAGGUUGGAUGCCAAUCUAUAAUCUCUAUCCGGACUGAACCGAGAAUUUCCCACUCCACUCGUAGAGCCAAAUAAUCUGAUCGUCACAGGAGAAAGAACUGAUUGAGAUUGCUAGUAUGGCAUCGCGAUCAUUGGCGAAAAAUGGCUUUCAACUCAGCAAAAAUCCCAAACCCCUGGAGAAAUAAAUAAUUCGCUGACCAUGGUUUAAACUUUAAAGGUAUUAGGCCGUAGAAUCCGAGAAAUUGUUAGUUCUGAAGUGUUCAUGUAACUACUUAACUCUGUGAGAUAGUGUGCGUCUUGAUUCUCCCGUCUCCUUACAUGAGUACUUGAUAAUCUCUGUAUCCUUUUAUCAUUUCCUGGUGUUAAUUGUUUAUGUAGAACUAUCCCUAAGGCCAUCUCCAACCCUGCACCAAAUUUUGCACCAUUUUACACCAAAUUUUGCACUAAAUCUUGCACCAAACCAAAAUUCUUCUCCAACCAUUACACCAAAUGAACAGUGCUUUAUUAUUUUAUUCAUUCUUUCGAUUUUUGACAAUGUAUUUAUUUUAAAAUAUUAUUUAUUUAUUUUAUAACUAUAUAAAUUAGUAAAUCAUAACUUCAUUAAAUUAACAAAUAUAUUGAUUACUAAAUUAUCACAUGUCUUAUAUAUUAUGUUAAAUUGACAAAAAUAUUUGAUUAUAUUAUUAAUUUAUGAUAAACAAUUACGUUAAAUUUAAAAAAAUAAUAAAGUUUAAUAAUAUAAACUUUACGUUAAAUUAAAUUUCAAACGUAAACUUUAUGUUAAAUUAACAAUUACGUUAAUUAUUAUUGAUUAUAUUAUUAAAAAUAAUAAACUUUAAUAAUAUAAUUAAUAGUGUAAUUAAUUAAGUAAUUAUUAUUAUUAUUAUUAUGAUUAUGAUUAUGAUUAUGAUUAUCAUUAUCAUUAUUAUUAUUAUUAUUAUUAUUAUUAUUAUUAUUAUUAUAGAACGAAAAUGACACAAAUACCCUUAACCAUUAGCUUUGAAAAAUGAAACAUAAGAGCAAAAUGGACAUUGCACCAGUUGGUGCAAAAUGGUGCAACAUGAAUAGUGUUGCACCAUAUUUGGUGCAACACUAUUCAUUACACCAUUUUUUGCACCAAAAUUUGGUGCAAUGGUGCAAUGGUUGGGGGAAGUUAUAAAAUAAAUAAAUAAUAUUUUAAAAUAAAUACAUUGUCAAAAAUCGAAAGAAUGAAUAAAAUAAUAAAGCACUGUUCAUUUGGUGUAAAUUUUGAUGUAAUGGUUGGAGAAGAAUUUUGGUUUGGUGCAAGAUUUGGUGCAAAAUGGUGCAGGGUUGGAGAUGGCCUAAGAGAUUAUUUUGAAAACUCCCUUGACCUGAGGACCUGAUCUUCACGGAAUCCAAGAUCUCUUAAUAAUAAAUCUAGAACUAAGAUCAGUAAGUGAUUCACUUUGUGUGAUAUUCUCUCUGUGAUGAUUGACUAUUUUUUGGCAUUUGAUAAAUACUUUUUGUAUUUUAUUAUGUGUUGGGUAUUUGGGAAACUCUUGAAUCGAAUUACUUGAAAAAACCUCUUCCAAAUAAAUUAUUUUUGUUGGAAAAUUUUAAAUUGACUCCGACAAGAUAUAUAUUUUCAAUAAGUUGAUCCAAGAUAUAAAAAAUUGUGGCAACAAGGGAAUAUGCGAGUAUAAAGCAAUCAUCAUGUAAAAUGCUAUCAUUGAGACCGAUAAGGAUGUUAACUGUGUCAUCAAUACUUUAAGAAGCAAUGAUCUAGAACUUAAAAAUGAUACAGAAACUAAAACCAGUGCUGAGGGGUAAAUCCAAACAUAGAGAGUCUAGUGGUUAGGAGAGUAAUAAUUCUUAUGGUCAUCACCAUAAAAAGAACUGUAGGAAUUAUUUUGGGUGUAAGUCAAAGGCUAAAAAUAGAAAAUGCUGUAAUUUUGGAAAAAAGAGACAUUAUAUUAAGGAUUGUUAUAAACUUAACAAUAAUUUCAAUAAAAUGAAAUAGAAAUCGAACCAAGUAAUUUUGCCACAACUAGCAACAAGACUCUUGAUGAUCUCUAUGUAGCCAUCCAAGUGGAAGAGACCGAGCGCCUUCCACUGAUUAUUUAAAUGAAUGGUUACAAGAAUUAGAUUGCACAUUUCAUAUGACAUCCAGAAAGGACAUUUAUUGUACCUAUAAAGAAAUAAACAGAAUGAUAGUAGUUAUAGGAAAUAAUAUAUCGUGCAGAGUGAGAAGCAAACCCACCUACAAAUUAAUCAAAACAAUUGAUUAGUGUAAGGAUUUGCAAAGUAAAUUGAAGAAAAUCAAGACCAAAAUCUGAAAAUAAAAGGAAAGGUUUUCCCCUUUAUAAUUCGGCUCAGAAACUUGAUCUACACCACAAAGGUAUCUCCAAUUUGAAGGCCAUUAUCAGUCACACAGACAUAUUCACAAAGAAAAGGCAAGAGAGGAUUGGUUUGCACUAAGCAGAGAAGUUUUUCUUCCUCUUGUUUUUUGCUCUCGGUUUUGGUGUGUUUAAUGGAAGGGAAGAGUCUCCUAUUUAUAGGCUUAUAGGAGUGAAUGAAUUUCACAGGAGUCUUCAAGAUUAGAUUGAAUAAAAACUGCAAGAUUAUAUCCAAACUGAAAGAUAGAGCUCAUCCAACAAAAAUGAGAUAAAAUUGGUUUGAUAAUAAUAACGAUAAUAUUUAUCCAUCUUUCAUGUGAAUUUCAAAUUCCCUCCAAGUUGGGUAUUGGGCAUCUAACCCAAUGGACUGAUUACCUCUAAAUACCCAACAUAAUUGGGCUACUUCAAUUGUGGUGUGGAUUUAAUUCUUCAAUCCUGGGCUUAUAGCCUAUGAAGUUAAAACGGGCCUCGAUUUUUCAUCAUAGCUUAGGGGAUUUGGGCAUUACUUACCAAUCAUGCCCAACACAGAGUCAUAGGAUUGGAAAUAUAAGGGUAAAAUUUGAAACUCGAGAUGUCUGUGCUAGAAAUUGUAAGGAGCACUCCUUUCCAUCAAAAGAGUUAGGAAUGGUCUUCUCGAAAAUAGAGAGCGUUUCUGCAGAUUCUGCAAUGGCUAACUCUGUUAAGGGUAAUGGUAGUAAUCUGUUGCACCAAAAAUUAGCUGACUUGGGUAAUAAAGGGUUGCAAAUGCUGCAAAACAAGGAUCUUUUGGGAAAAAUCACAUGACACAUCUACCCUUUUGUAAAAAUAAUGUCCUAGGAGAAUAGCAUAGAGUCCAGUUUUCAUAUUGCUUACAUGGAACUUCCUCAAUAUUAGAAUACUUGAGCUUUGUUUUUUAGGGUCCUUCUAGAACAUCCACACAUUGAAGAAACAUAUGUUUCUUGUCAAUAAUAGAUGAUUCUUUAAGAAAAGUACGGUUUUAUUUGUUAAAACUUUAUAUAUACAUUAGUCCAAUUUUAAACCAUUUUACUUCUUUUUCUUCACUUUUAAAGAAAAGUCUGCUCUUCAAAAAUUGACUUUGUUUGAGGUAUAACCCAUGAUUUAUUUCUAAACUUGCAACAAUAUUGAAAAGGCUUAUGCAUCAUAAACAGAAUUGAUGUGAAUAUACAAUGCAAAUUAGGUACAAAUGCAUAAAAUAAAAUCCCAUGGACAAGGCACAAUGCAUUGCUUUUAUUAAAGUAUAAAAUAGGACGAGCUCGUUGGCAAGGCAUCUUUACAAUUUACCUUCAGUCAUCACAACGCAUCUUUUCUCAAAAUUACAACUAUGAAGGAGGUACAACUAUGAAGGAGUUUUGAAUAUGAUAAUAAAUUAUUUGUUGAGAUAUAGUGGAACUGUUAGAAUCUCAAGACACGGAAACAACUAGCGUGCAAAAUGUUAUAGAGAAAUGUUUACUACUCAAAUAGAUUAAAAUCAUUCAAAGGUGAAUUCAUAAAUCAUUUUUAAUCUCAAUUUUACAGAAUAAAGUAGAACACUAAUUGAAUUCAACACAGUUCGAAUUCUGCCAGGCACUAAUAGUUUAAACAUGCCAUUUACAAAAUUCAUAUACUUUACAAACUCAUUUUUGCUCAAUGAAUGAUCAACAUGCAACUUAAUCAACUUGCUAAGCUCUCAAAUCUCUUAGGUGAUCUGUAUUAGUCCUACGUGUUUUAAAUUAGUCAAGUAUUGUGAAACUCAAUACCUCAAACAGCAGCUUAUGAAAUACAGUAAUUCCUAGAAGGCAAAAAUAGAGCUCAUCUUAGUUUCAAAACAAGGCAAACAUAAGAUAGAAGUUAUUUGAUGUUUUAUUUAAUAGUACACGCAAUACCUAGGAACGAGAUGAGAACUCUUAUUACACUCAAAAAUGUGUCAGAGGGCUGGCAAAGGUAUCUCCUGCAAGAAAAAAAAAUGUUUACAAUCCAAUUGAAUAAGUGAAAGGCGAAUUUUUAGAGAAUCGUAGUAUACCAACAAAAAAUAUUCUUUGUUUACUAGUUUCUUUCUUCUUCACGUUCGCUUACUGCUUUACUUUCCUUUUCAGGUUCACUUUCUGCUUCAUUUUUACUCUCCUGGUCAAAUAUUAUGACUUUAAGUUCUUCAUUUCCCAUUUCUUCUUGUUCUUCUUGAAUUCUCUUAGCAGAUUCUUUGAUAGCUUCCACGCAGUCAUAUACCUCAAUCAUUAGUAAUGUUGGAAUAUCACCUAAACUGGGAGGGAUCAUCUUCAAAUGUUUGCAAUAUUUCAAUCCUAGUCGUUGAAGUCUUGGGAAAUGAUCAGUUGAG